CCCCCCCCCCCAAACAUAGCCAUAGGCUGUUAACCUGUAGUGAAAGGUAUCGAAGAUAAUACAAUUUCUUUCUUCUUUUUGCUAGCCUUUCAUUUUCUCCCAGCUCUCUCUGUGAUUUCCAGUAAGUUGGGGCCAAGACCCUAACACCGAGUCUCAGGAUAUAUAUGGCUCAACACAACAUUCUUGAGGGCAGUCAUGUUCAUAAUGCCCCACAAUCAUUAGUUUCAUUAACGGGCUUGAUUAACGCAAGGUCAAGGAUUGGUGAACAUCAACAGGCAGCGGCAGACCACGAACAAACUCGACUACAACUCGAGGAACAAAGGGAUAUACUCCUAGCUAAUAGAGCAGCUAUCAAUAACCAACUCCUACCUCUGCGAACGCAACGUGAUUUUCACGCAGGUCGCGUUGAACACUACGGCCACCGGGUUCAGCAAUCUGAUCAACAAAUAGCCGAGUUGAAUGGUAGAGUACAAGACCUUGCGGCCCUUCGUGAUGCAGCCGUGGAACGAGUGGAGAUGUAUGGGCAUGGUUUAGCAACUCUUCCAGUAAUUACAGUGGCAACACUAAGGCAAAUGGUGGUUAUUGUGAAUGAAAUCCGACCAUUAGGCUUUGCUGGUCAGAUUAGGAUCUAUGACACCCCCAUGACCUCUGAGCUUGAAAGGCAAGAAAUCCGUGAUUUAUGUGCCCAAUUUAAUAUUAUAGUUCAAAACUAGUUAUUUAUGAGAUGAUCGAUUGUAGUUGGGAUUUUAAGUUUCAGUGGCGACUUUAGAUAGUUCCAAUGCUAGUUGAUGUUUGAUUUAAAAGUUGAUUGCUUAUUGUAAUUUAGGUUGCUACUUGAUCACAAUUGCAUUGCAUACUCUGCAAUGGUGCUUCUUUCAAUUCUAUUUUUAUCAGGCACAUUGGAUGUUCCCCUCAAUCUAAUCCUGAAUCGUAAA